CUUUGAUGUCUGGAGUGGCACCACUGACCCCUUGCUAACCAGUUCGUUUUAAACUUGUACGUGAAGCUGCUCAAAUCCAAACAGUGACAGGGUUGAGCAGAGUGAACACAUAAACAAGAGAGGGCUCUAACCACAAAAAUUUCCUAGUAUGUGCCUUAUUAUCCAUUCACUUCAACUGCUUUUUAGUCACUUUUCUUCUGGUUAUGUGACAGCUCUUUUAUUUUAACUUACAUUAAUUAAAGUGUUACUUUUGGCUGCCUUCAGAAAUUUCUAAGCUAGGUCAAAACCAUGUAAUACAAAGUAAGGUUUGAAACAAUGUUCCUUGAAGUUUUCCAAGAGUCUCACGUUUGCUCUCGGAAGAUACUAUGAUCCUGCAACCAUUUGGAAUUAUUUAUAUGCAGAUGGAUUUUCUUUCCUAUGGAACUCUGUUUGCCAAGAAAAUUUUAUCAACCCUUUAUUUGUGGCAUAGAAACAAUGGUUAUAGAUUCAAUGUUUUUCAGGUAAAAAAUUAUUUUCUAAAAUUGAAUAUGUUUUUUAAAAAAUAUUUUCCAUCUACAGUGAUUCACAUAUGGAUAAAAAUAGCAGAAAGGGAUAUGGUUUUUGGUUUUGUUUCUUUUUCUUUUUUUUAAAGAAAGGCCAAUUACAGUAUCUGUAUUGGAAGUCAUACCAGAUUAUUUUUUGCAGACUAAACUUUGUUACUUACUAAGCAAAACUUACUUUUGUGAUUUUUAGGAAACUAAUUUUAGCAUUCUUAAUGAUGUAUAUUAUUUGAAAUGACAGUAAACACUUUCUAAGCUCUGUGUUACUUUAUUUUUAUUUUAAUAUGUGGUCACUACCAACCUCUCUUUCUUAUAUAAUAACAUCAAAGUUACUUAAAGAAAAAUAAUAAUAUCAGUUAUAAUAGCCACUGGGGAGAAAUGUUCAAGUUCUCUUAGAUCUGAAAUUAUGUAUUUUUUUCUUAAAAAUACUUCUGUCAUUGUAAGUGUACCCUAACAGAAGAACAUCUUUAAAUGUAAAAAUGAUUAGGACUCCUUUUCCGUGUCACAGCAUGGCAGUCUCAGCACUCAGAUUGCUACAUGUGCCCAUUAUAAUAAAAUCAAUAGUUUAUUCUUAAUGUAAUAAAGUAGAUUAAUUCCAUGGCUUUUGUAUGUAGCAGGCAAUGGACUGCACGUUUCAGGUUUCCGAAACAGUCUCUUCACAAUAAAGGCCAACUUUUUUUUUUAAUGGAAUUAUAGUGGCAGGAAAACACAUAGCACAAAUUAAAUGAGGAUUAAGCCUGAAAAUAUUCUUUUCCUAGAGGCUUUAGGAAUUAUUAGAAAUAUGAGAAGAAAAGGCUGUUUGCUAAGUAACGUAUUUGAAAUUAUAUAAAGCAGGCAGAAACGAUGUGCAGUUGCUUUGCUGUUCAAAAAGAAAAUGAAACAGGAAAGAAUAAAGAACUUCUAAAUAUUAAAAAGCAAAUAUUUAAUAAGCAGCAUCGGCUUUUACUUUUGGCCUGGAAAAAUGAGUUGUGUUCCUUUAUUUCCUCCCUCAUUCCUAUUUUGCCAGUAUUCUCUGG